rnacentral:rRNA from 1 species
UACGUAGGGUGCUAGCGUUGUUCGGAAUCAUUGGGCGUAAAGCGCGUGUAGGCGGUUUUUUAAGUCGGGUGUGAAAUCCCUGAGCUCAACUCAGGAAGUGCAUCCGAAACUAACUAGCUAGAAGAUGACAGAGGAAGGUGGAAUUCCAAGUGUAGAGGUGAAAUUCGUAGAUAUUUGGAGGAAUACCGGUGGCGAAGGCGGCCUUCUGGGUCAUACUUGACGCUGAGACGCGAAAGCGUGGGGAGCAAACAGG